UAAAGUUUAUCUUCCCAACAACACUCUCAGGGAAGACUGGUGGAGGAAGAGCCUCUGCUUGUGGUGUUCCUAAGCACUUAGUCACUGCAUGGAGUCUUCCACUUCAGAUUGCUGGGUCCUGUCUGCACAGCUGGUCAUACAGGAAGUAUAUCAUGGUGAUUAAAAGCAACUUUUUGAACAAGAUCAUCUGAGUUCAAAACCCAGCUCUGUCACUUUACUGGCUGUGUGA